GACCAAUGGCGCGGGAGGAGGAGAAGAGAGAGAGAGAGAGAGAGAGAGAGCGCGCAGAGCGAAUUAGCAACGGGGGCAUUGUUUUUGGUACUUGACACUUCUGAGCAACUCUUUUGAGCAACUGAGUACCUUGGAAUAUCCUGUAUCUGGAAUGCAGUGGAGAAGGAAGAUGCAAUCUGUUGGCUAUGCCUGGUUGAGGCACCAGACUUCGAUAUGAUGUGAUUACUGGCAGAAGGGAAGCUUCCUUGUGCGAACCAAGCGAAGGAAGCGGUGGCUGGCAAUUUCCUGGAAAGACCGCUGAAGGAAGAUGUUGACUUCAGAUGGGAAAAGGGAACACGAUUGGUUGCCGUGUGACACUGUGUAGGUGUAGCACGUCCUUUUCUUUUCGUGUCACUAGUCAACAAUAUCUGGCCGUUCUUGCAUGGAAAAUUUAGAAGAAAUCCACCAAGGAUGACCGCUUCAACUUACUAGUACGUAGUAAUGUAUGAUUUUUAUGAAGGGGAAGCUGAGACUGAGUUAUCAGGUGCCUCUCAGUGUAUUGUGUGUAAUUGAUGAAGGUACGUGCAUGAUUGAGUUUUUUUUUCCUUUUUAUAAAAUGUACU